rnacentral:lncRNA from 1 species
GACACCCUUGCCUAUAUAUAAAAGUGUCUCCUCUCUUGUAAUGAUCUUGGAAGUUUAUCAAUGUUAUGCUACACAAAUUUGGACAUACAUUUCCUAGAUCAAGACUAGAGCAACCUUAGAGGCCUCUCUAGUCACCUUCCUCCUUGAGUUAAUUAGCCUCACCUAUCUUGGAGCCACCAAACACUACACCACCACCACCAUAUCUCCUAGAGGCUACGAGCUUCUACACCAUCCACACCUUAACUCAUCAUCCUUGGACAAUUUACCAUCACAUUUCUACACCAUCCAUCCAUGAAGACGCCCCUCAAAGCACGUCUCCUA